UAGACCGCUAUGUUUAAUCUCCAAGAAAUAAUAUGUAAUGUGUAACAUACAUAAUGUGUAACAAACAAACGUGGACAUUCUUCGUUAAGAAAGCUUUGACGGAGACAACGAAAUAAGUUCUUUAGUCUUGUCAUAUUUUUUACUUCGAGAUUGGCAAUACUAAUACUUUGCCAUGGCGACCGAAGUUUCAGUCUGUGAAAUCAGUAAGCUGUAGCCGAUAUUUUAGCAAAUAUUUCAUCACUUCUGGGAUCAAAACACAUUUUCCUAGGUUUUGAAAAUUCUGAAGAAAGACCAUACAAGUCAAUGCCACUAUCAUUUUAGCCAUAUCUAUGCAGGAA